rnacentral:rRNA from 1 species
UUCAGGCCUAACACAUGCAAGUCGAGCGGUAGCACAGAGAGCUUGCUCUCGGGUGACGAGCGGCGGACGGGUGAGUAAUGUCUGGGAAACUGCCUGAUGGAGGGGGAUAACUACUGGAAACGGUAGCUAAUACCGCAUAACGUCGCAAGACCAAAGAGGGGGACCUUCGGGCCUCUUGCCAUCAGAUGUGCCCAGAUGGGAUUAGCUAGUAGGUGGGGUAACGGCUCACCUAGGCGACGAUCCCUAGCUGGUCUGAGAGGAUGACCAGCCACACUGGAACUGAGACACGGUCCAGACUCCUACGGGAGGCAGCAGUGGGGAAUAUUGCACAAUGGGCGCAAGCCUGAUGCAGCCAUGCCGCGUGUAUGAAGAAGGCCUUCGGGUUGUAAAGUACUUUCAGCGGGGAGGAAGGUGCUGAGGUUAAUAACCUCAGCAAUUGACGUUACCCGCAGAAGAAGCACCGGCUAACUCCGUGCCAGCAGCCGCGGUAAUACGGAGGGUGCAAGCGUUAAUCGGAAUUACUGGGCGUAAAGCGCACGCAGGCGGUCUGUCAAGUCGGAUGUGAAAUCCCCGGGCUCAACCUGGGAACUGCAUUCGAAACUGGCAGGCUAGAGUCUUGUAGAGGGGGGUAGAAUUCCAGGUGUA